AAAAUCAAUACUUUGAAUGACUACCCCAAAAACUCAUCAGUUUCUUUUUUCCCUUUCUCUCUCUUCUUCACUCUUUCUCUCUCUUCCUUCAAAUUCUCCCUGGUGCGAUUUUUCAUUGUUCUUCGCAUAUCAAAUUCGUGAAUUUUUUCUUCCAUCUUCGUCACCUGUUAUUUUGAACAAUUGGAGAUCGUAUCUUAAUGCAAGAGCUUCAGCAAUUGCAGGAGAAGUGUAGUAUGAGCAUACUUUUCCAGCAGCUACAACCUUAUCCAACUCAUCCAUGAUCACUGUCCCAAGCCUAAUAGCCCGCCCCGCUCAAACAUAUGCAUCCAUAUCCACCUUCUUGUAAAUGAUCGGGUUGAGUGUUGCUGCCCUGCCAUGCAAGCCCUACCAAGGCUGCAACUGCUGCCUUGCAGGUCCUGCCAAGGCUGCUGCUGCUGCUGGCCCGGCCUAGGCUGCUGCUGCUGCUGCUUCCCUGCCAUGGCUUGCUGCUGCUAUGCUAUUUCUGCUCUACCUCCUGCUGCUGCUAUGCUACUUUUGUUCUACUGCCUGCUACUAUAAAUGUUGCUCGGGAGUUCUUAAAGUUGAGCGAAACGGGAAGCUGCUAUGAGCAAGAGUGCAGCCUAUGCAGGAGGAGCAGCAGAAGCAUGAGCAGAAGUAAUACUAUUUAUUUACUUUAAUGAUGUUUUAAUUUACUUUUUAGCCUUUUUUUAUUUACUUUUGAGCUGUGGUAUUUUGAGUUCAACACUUUAUCACCAAACAGUGACAUGCCCCAUUUCCAACUCCAACCCCUGCCAGAUACGAAAUAAAAGAACAAAACUAUGUUACCAUAACCAAGGGCUUUAUUGCAGUUUUUUUUAUAGAUUAUUUUAUUUACUUUUAAGA